AAGGGAGACCUAAUUCGGGUAUAAGACGAAAAAAGAGUAGUCGAAACCAAGAGUCAAUCCCAAAAGGUCGGAACGAGGUAUGUGGCUUUCAAACUAGGUUCUGGGUUCACACAAGACCUGAAUCAGGAACAAGGGCUAUUAGCUCAGGUGGUUAGAGCGCACCCCUGAUAAGGGUGAGGUCCCUGGUUCGAGUCCAGGAUGGCCCACCUGCACAGGUGGCAAAAACAAAGAAGCGAGGAAUCAGCACCUUAUCUUAUCUAUAUAUAAGAGAGAAUGCUGGCUCUGAGUAAAGAGUCCAGAGGAACCUUGAAAACUGCAUAGAGCUAGGUGAAAAAGCCAAAAAAGAAGACCGCAA
rnacentral:tRNA from 1 species